ACUCAAAUGAAUAGACGGGGGCCCGCACAAGCGGUGGAGUAUGUGGUUUAAUUCGAUGCAACGCGAAGAACCUUACCUGGGUUUGACAUCCCGCGAAUCCUCCCGAAAAGGAGGAGUGCCCUUCGGGGAGCGCGGUGACAGGUGCUGCAUGGCUGUCGUCAGCUCGUGCCGUGAGGUGUUGGGUUAAGUCCCGCAACGAGCGCAACCCUUGUCUUUAGUUGCCAGCGAGUAAUGUCGGGCACUCUAGAGAGACCGCCUCGGUCAACGGGGAGGAAGGUGGGGACGACGUCAAGUCAUCAUGGCCCUUACGCCCAGGGCUACACACGUACUACAAUGGUGGGUACAAUGGGCUGCGAGACCGCAAGGUGGAGCCAAUCCCAAAAAACCCAUCCCAGUCCGGAUCGGGGUCUGCAACUCGACCCCGUGAAGUCGGAAUCGCUAGUAAUCGGAGAUCAGCAUGCUCCGGUGAAUACGUUCCCGGGCCUUGCACACACCGCCCGU
rnacentral:rRNA from 1 species